rnacentral:sRNA from 1 species
GCUGGGCGUGGUGGUGCAUGCCUGUAACCCCAGCAACUCAGGAGGCUGAGGCAGGAGGAUCAUGAGUUCAAAGCCAGCCUUAGGAAUUUAGUGAGAUCCUGUCUCUA